rnacentral:rRNA from 1 species
UACGUAGGGGGCCAGCGUUGCUCGGAAUUACUGGGCGUAAAGGGUUCGUAGGCGGUGCGGCAAGUCGGGAGUGAAAUCUCUGGGCUCAACCCAGAGUCUGCUUCCGAAACUGCUGUGCUUGAGUGUGGGAGAGGCGCGUGGAAUUGCAGGUGUAGCGGUGAAAUGCGUAGAGAUCCGGAGGAACACCAGUGGCGAAAGCGGCCACCUGGACUGUACCUGACGCUGAGACGCGAAAGCUAGGGGAGCGAACGGG